rnacentral:rRNA from 1 species
GGCGGCGUGCCUAACACAUGCAAGUCGUACGAGAAAGCCGGCUUCGGCUGGUGAGUAAAGUGGCGCACGGGUGAGUAACGCGUGGAUAAUCUGCCCUUAAGUGUGGAAUAACGUACCGAAAGGUGCGCUAAUACCGCAUAAUGCCUGGCAACACAAGUUGUCCGGCCAAAGAAGGCCUCUGUUUACAAGCUUUCGCUUCAGGAUGAGUCCGCGUACCAUUAGCUUGUUGGUGGGGUAAUGGCCUACCAAGGCUGCGAUGGUUAGCUGGUCUGAGAGGAUGAUCAGCCACACUGGAACUGAGACACGGUCCAGACUCCUACGGGAGGCAGCAGUGAGGAAUAUUGCGCAAUGGGGGCAACCCUGACGCAGCAACGCCGCGUGAGUGAGGAAGGUUUUCGGACUGUAAAGCUCUGUCGAGCGGGAAGAAGUGUACCAUGGCUAAUAUCCGUGAUAUUUGACGGUACCGCUAGAGGAAGCACCGGCUAACUCCGUG